rnacentral:rRNA from 1 species
CCGAUCCGCCCUCGGCUUUGUAGGACUACCCGCU